rnacentral:lncRNA from 10 species
CAAAGUGCUGGGAUUACAGGCAUGAGCCACCACGCCUGGCCCACAUUUUCAAAAAAUACAUAGAAUAGUAUAAUGAACUCAUGUGCCCAUUGUCCAUCUUUAACAAAUAAUUAAUGGCCAAUCUUUUAUUUCUACUCUCCCAGUGUCCCUCCCUACUAAAUUACACUGAUGCAAACGCCAGACAUCAUUUGACUUUCCAUCCAUAAAUACUUUAGUAUGUACCUAUAAAAGAGAAAGGCUAUUUUUAAAAACAUAACUACGAUAUCAUCAUACCAAAAAACUCUCCAAUGUUAACAAUUAUUUAAUAUCAAAUGUCCAAUAGAU